rnacentral:rRNA from 1 species
UUACACCUAAAGCCUUCUUCACACACGCGGCAUGCUGGAUCAAGCUUGCGCCCAUUGUCCAUAUCCCUCACGGCUGCCUCCCUUAGAAUUCCCCCCGUGCCCCCCCCCCGCCCGCCCCGGGCGGCGGGGGGGGCGGCCGGCCGCGCGCGG